UAGACAACAAGUGAAGAAACUGAAACUAGCACUUGCUAAAACCAGUCUAUACAAAAGUCUUCCUUUAGCAAUAGAGAAACCUAAAUCCCGGAAGAAUCAAAGUAGUUCAAGCAGAACUUCCAGAAAGGUGGACCAGGAAUUGAGGAAAGCAGUGAGGUUGUCAGAGAGAUGUUGAAUAAUUUGUCUAGAAGGAAGCAUGGAAUCAAUGUUAACCAUCGCCAUCUUCAUUGGAUCACCUGAUGCAGAAAUGGCACAUUAUUUUGUCGACAAUAUGAAGAACUAGCCAGUUGCAACUGCACAUUGUUCAUCAAUGUAAAAGGGAAAAAGGACGAAAUAAAGGGUUAUAAGAAAUAUAAGAGAGACACAAACACAUACUAUGUAGGACAACAGGGGCCGUCUUACCCUAACUCAGGGCAAAAAAACAACAAAUACAGAUAAAAAAGUGCUCACAAGGUUUGUCACUUAGAAUAAGG
rnacentral:lncRNA from 1 species